rnacentral:sRNA from 1 species
CAAGACGGACAUCCCCCGCUACAUCAUCCGCCAGCUGGGCCUCACCCGUGACCCCUUUCCAGGUGCCGGCUAGUGGGUACAGGGGGACUGGGGGUGAGCAGGCCCAGACCCCAUCUCGUGCUCACUCUCAGUCCCUCCCUAGACGUGGUACACCUGGAGGAACAGGACAGUGGUGGCUCCAACACCCCUGAGCAAGACGAUCUCUCUGAGGGCCGCAGCAGCAAGGCCAAGAAACCGCCGGGGGAGAAUGACUUUGAUACCAUCAAGCUCAUAAGCAACGGUGCCUACGGCGCUGUCUACCUGGUGCGGCACCGCGACACACGGCAGCGCUUUGCCAUGAAAAAGAUCAACAAGCAGAACUUGAUCCUCCGCAACCAGAUCCAGCAGGCCUUCGUGGAGCGCGAUAUCCUCACCUUCGCCGAGAACCCGUUUGUGGUCGGCAUGUUCUGCUCGUUCGAGACUCGGCGCCACCUCUGCAUGGUCAUGGAAUAUGUGGAAGGUGCGGCGACUGUGCCACCUUGCUGAAGAAUAUUGGAGCGCUGCCCGUAGAGAUGGCCCGCAUGUACUUCGCCGAGACGGUGCUAGCCCUGGAGUAUUUGCACAACUAUGGCAUCGUGCACCGCGACCUCAAGCCUGACAACCUCCUUAUCACCUCCAUGGGUCACAUCAAGCUCACGGAUUUCGGCCUCUCCAAGAUGGGGCUCAUGAGCCUCACCACCAACUUAUAUGAAGGCCAUAUCGAGAAGGACGCCCGGGAGUUCCUGGACAAACAGGUGUGUGUGCGGGCAUGGGGGUCGCUGCGGGUGGAGUGACCCUGCAGGACCUCGGGAACCCAGGGCCUGGUGGGGGGCACAGCUCUCCCUCGAGGGCCCUCCUGUGGCCAGGGCGUGGGCUGACAGCCUGCCCCCAGGUGUGUGGGACCCCAGAGUACAUCGCCCCCGAGGUCAUCCUGCGUCAAGGCUACGGCAAGCCAGUGGACUGGUGGGCCAUGGGGAUCAUCCUCUACGAGUUCCUGGUGGGCUGUGUGCCCUUCUUCGGAGACACACCAGAGGAGCUAUUUGGA